AUGUUAUGGUAAUGUGGGUUAGAAUUCAAGUGUCCGCAGAGUUACAUGAAGUAAUCUGUAUCAAGAAUCCAAAAGUCCCAUCAACUAAAAUGCUAACUAUUACUAAUACAUAUUCAACUGGCUCACUAAAAUGCUUUAUCAUUCCUCAGUCCUCACAUCACCUCUAUUAUUAAUUUAUUUUUCUUUUUCUUUUACUCUUUUUUCUAGGUUGCAUUGUUAAAAGGCAUGACAGAUACCUCUAAAAUGUAAACCCUUUAUGUAGCUGAUUUUUCUCAGGAAAGACUUGCUAAGAAACUGAUUGUAGUGACCCCUACCAAAACUAUGUGCUAAUCUUGAAAGUUAACGAAAUGUUCCAGUUGUGUAAAACCAAAGCCUCA
rnacentral:misc_RNA from 1 species